UACGUAGGGUGCGAGCGUGUCCGGAAUUAUUGGGCGUAAAGAGCUCGUAGGCGGCUUGUCACGUCGGAUGUGAAAGCCCGGGGCUUAACCCCGGGUCUGCAUUCGAUACGGGCAGGCUAGAGUGUGGUAGGGGAGAUCGGAAUUCCUGGUGUAGCGGUGAAAUGCGCAGAUAUCAGGAGGAACACCGGUGGCGAAGGCGGAUCUCUGGGCCAUUACUGACGCUGAGGAGCGAAAGCGUGGGGAGCGAACAGG
rnacentral:rRNA from 1 species